rnacentral:rRNA from 1 species
CAGUCGCCGCGGGAAUACGGAGGGUGCAAGCGUUAAUCGGAAUUACUGGGCGUAAAGCGCACGCAGGCGGUCUGUCAAGUCAGAUGUGAAAUCCCCGGGCUUAACCUGGGAACUGCAUUUGAAACUGGCAGGCUAGAGUCUUGUAGAGGGGGGUAGAAUUCCAGAUGUAGCGGUGAAAUGCGUAGAGAUCUGGAGGAAUACCGGUGGCGAAGGCGGCCCCCUGGACAAAGACUGACGCUCAGGUGCGAAAGCGUGGGGAGCAAACAGGAUUAGAUACCCCGGUAGUCCCUGUCUCUUAUAC